AACACUGUUAACCUGCGGUACCUGCGGAAGGAUCAUUACAGUGCCUGUCGGGGGCGUUGCGCACGCGCGGCGCGCCCCGACUCUGGCCUCCACCCGUGUUUACCCGACCUCUUGUUGCUUUGGCGGGCUGGCCGCGGGGGCCUAUGGCCCCCCCUGGCUGCCGGAGAUCUCUCUGGACAACGCCCGUCAAGGGACCCCUUGAACCCUUGUGGAAGUGAUGGUCUCGUCUGAGUUUUUGAU
rnacentral:misc_RNA from 1 species